rnacentral:lncRNA from 1 species
CCGGGGGCAAGAAAGAAAUCCUCUGCUUCAGCUUAUGCGCCAAGAUCCUAUGUUUCUGCGCUUACGGGCAGUUCAAUUUAUAGAGAAAUUAGGAAUGACUAUCCCUAUCUUAUUAUAUGACAUGCGCCCGAAAGCUGAAAGAAAGAAGUCUUUGACUGAAGACUCAAAUGCCACUGUCUUGAUAGCGCGGGUAAUGUUGACUGACAAAUCCAAGAGUGAAAUCUCUAUAGAACGAAAGGGGGUAAGUAUAGAAUUUAGUUAGAGGAGAGCACACUCCAAAGCUUUCAAAGGAAUCAUAGCGCAAGCAAGUCAGCUGCAGAAAGGACGGUUUGAGUUUCAUCGACGAGAAGGCUGGAUCAGAGCUUUCUCUUUGCUUUAACCAAGUAAUAGAGUUUGGGUGCUCAGUAAACAUCAUUCGUAGAUGUAUUGGUGCUAACCUACCUACUCUAUUGGAAUACAACCACCGCGAACUCUAAAUUUCACCACUCUACCUGGAAAGGGUGAAUCCUUAGCUCGAGUACUUGCCUACUUGUCCGUUCUUCUACUAUUGAGCCUCUACUAUGGAGUUUUCUUCUUGACUCUUAUUGUUAGUAUGGGUAUGCUUACCGGGGGCGCUCCCCUCGUCUUCUAUCUAAUCAUCUAAUACUGUCUAAGUCAGUAGUUGUCGCUUUAAAGCAAGGGGCGUAAGAGGGCAAGUUCGAUUUCAUAACAGUAAGGGCAGGCCGAGGGCUUGGGGGAAGCCAUUAGAUUUAGAUUAAGGUGCUGAAAGCCUAAAGCAAGGGAGUGAGCUUCUCUAUCUCGAGUUCGAGUCUUGCUGGGCGGGUGACGAAUCUUUAUUUCGAGGUUGGUUCCCAGUGGGUCCACACAAAGAUAGUCGUUAUGGGCACUGUGUCGAGGGCAUAGUCUGUUAGGUCGCUGCUCGAUUCCUGUUCUCGGUGUACGAACUCAAUUCUAACUGUUGAGUUGGAUUCCCAUAUAUCGACUAGGGAUGCGCUACACCUUACUCCGAACACACUGCCGCUCCACUCUUUUCCUUACUCAUUUGUUUUUUAGUCAAUGCUUGACCCUUGUCUUCUGAACUCAAUGCUUUACUGAGUACUAUUAAGUAUGAAAAGAAACUCCACCCACGACUUUUCAACUUAUACACAAGCACAGGCAAUAACCUAUCUCACAGACUAUGCUCGAACAGAACGGAACCCUACUUUACUUACCGUCCCGCCUCGUCGCUUACUUUAGCUUCUUCUCUAGCUUAUGAUCUCGUUGACAGAACUCCACUUUCAUCUCCGAAACUAUCUUCCCGUGUAAGUGUAAGUAAUAAAGAAGAAGAUUUCACUGAUUGAACUGAAAUUCUAUACAAUGAAAUAAUGAAAGGGAUAUACCCACACACCCUCUGUUCUUGUGCAGAGUAUACCAGUAACUCCUCUGCACCUAGGAAAACAUCAAUGGAACAAUUUCACUUUCACAACUGUUCUAUAUAUGAGUUAGAAUUGAGCAGCUCAUCUCACAAACAGGGCCAAGCAAGCCAGCCCAGUUGUGGUUUCAUUCUUUGACUCGGGUAGGCAGGUUGACUUACUUGUUUUCUUCCAAUACGAGGGCAGGGGGAAUCUCACUUGUUUAUAGAAGUCUGACAUGCCCUUAUUGAUCUAACUAAAGUAGUCUUCUAAUAAGGAAUGCCAGGCCCAGAGCUCUUAGUUGAGGAGUUAGAGUCGGGAAUGGUCUUGUUUACAUUGAUUGAAGUCCUAGAAGCAUUAUAAGCUAUUGGUUCAAUAAAGUAGUAGAGACAUCCGUUCUAUUCUAAUGGUUACUUAACGCAUCUCUGCACGGUAGGUAUAUUCUGUAUUCUUUGGAUUCUUGCUAUUACUAGUUCAAAGCUAGCUGAUCUGAGACUAACUACUCUGCUCCUGUAUUCCAGAUCGAAGUAUUACACUGAGCCCGCAUAACCCAUAUUCUUAUUUACCAUUUCUUUUGUGCCCCAAUACAUAGUAGCUGAUUUCUCUUCUUUGUAUCGGCGAUUCCAUUCUUGUAUUCCUCGUUUCGAUUCUUGUUAGUAAUGGUCACAGCCCCUAUGCCUAGCUGUUUCAUUACGAGAAGCCCUAAGUGAAAGCAUGAAAGCAGGAAUUGGAAGAAUUAGAUAAAGUCAGGACAGGCUGUUAUCAAGGGGGUUGUAGUUAUCAAUACAAUAACAGAGCAGAAGAGAGUUUCCUAAGUGCCAAUGAGAUUCUAUUCUCUUAUAAUGCAAAAUGAGAAAAGAAAGAUCAUGAUAUAUAUCAAUACAUAUCAAUACAAGUAGAAUAAGAAAAUAGUAGUGAAAAGAAUACCGGAAGUCGGGCUCAAAAGCAACGAGUCUUUCGUCUAAAGGUUGGAGCAAAACACUUGUGGCCCCACCGUUUAAGCUCUGGGUCGAUCAUUUUAUAGACUUGAAAAAAACACCCUCCGCUCUUUUAUUCUCUUUUCCCAUUGUGCUCAGCCUCCUGCGCCCGGUGCUUCGGUUCUUGUAAAAUAUCUCGGGUCGGGAGCAUCAGUAAAUUGCUUUUUCUUUUCUUGUAGGUCCGGCCCAAUUCAAAUAACACCUAAGGAUCCGACCGGCUUCAGGAAGAGGCACCCCACACCCCUAAAUAAAGGCUUCUAUGCUUUACGUCAUUAAUAAGAUCCAUUCUUGGCCAUAGAUAUGCGCUUUUACAUAUCGUUAUUGAAAGAGUGGGUCUCAAUUCAGAAAUUCGUGCUCCACUAAUAGAAGCGAAAUGAAACCCCACACACAAACAUUUGGAUUUGGAUCCUAAAGCGGAAAGGAAAGGGGCGAUUCAUGGAGAAAGCCUUAUGUCCGCGCUAUUGCCCUGCUUGUUCGCCUAUACUUCACUCUGGAAUCUAUCUCAGAAAGCCUUAUGCCCGCACUAUUGCCCUGCUUGUCUAUACUCUGGAAUCUAGCCUUAUGUCCGCACUAUUGCCCUGCUUGUCUAUACUCUGGAAUCUAUCUCGUGGUUUUCUUUUGCUUUUCCAAUCCUAUCAGGCUUGUGUUACGAUCUAUAUCACUAGAUGGGACUUCCUUUCUCAAGUGCUUCUCCCCUUUUCUGCCUUUCUUUCUCAUAAGAUAUAACAUUCUUGCUCCUAAGGGGUCUUAUUACAUUCUUUCUCAUAAGGUCUGAAUGACUAGUUUAUACGAUACAAAUCAAAUUGGAGUUUGGGCCGUGCCCGGGCAGAUUCCUCCUUUUCUUUUGGUGCUCUCUAGUUUAUGGAGAUUCCUCCUUUUCUUUUGGUGCUCUCUAGUUUAUGGAAAAGUCAAACUCAACUGGAAAGAGGCAAGCGCAAACCUGUUGUGAAAAUAUGAGAAUAAGAAGUUAUACCCUAAUCCUUAGGGAGGAAGCGUGUGUGGGCAUCAUACCAGACCAAAACCCAAUGGAAUGCUCGGCUAUCUUAUUGAUUCUGACUAUUUGGGGAAUGAUUCCAAAAAGAAGGAAGAGGAACCCUAUCUUUACCUUUUCGAGGCGGGCAAAGGAAAGCAGAAGCGGAUGCAGAUCCGUGUGAUGAAAUCCAGAAACUAGUUAUCCAAUCAUCAAUCAAAUGAUAUCAUCUUUUAUCUGUGGAAUGGAAUUCAUCCUUUGUUAGUACCCGCCCGCCCUCCGAAGUGCAUUUCCUGUGUAAGGUAAGAUCCAGCUUGCCAAACUAUAGAGAAGCACCAUUAGAUAAGUUGAUACUUCGUCCUUUUUUGUUCAGGCUAUUCUCAUAGAACUGUGAUACAUUGAAUAUUAGUUAAUAACAACACUGACCCGAACUCUAUAAAUACUAUUUGGUGACGAAAGAGAAUCCAGUCAAAUAGAGAGUAUAUAAGUCAGUCCAGUCCAGGUCCAGUCCAGAAGAAACUCAAGUCUAAGAAAACGGGGAUUAUUGGUACAGAACAUAGUCAAUCGUAGUUACAGCACUUGAUAGCAGAUACUUUACUUACAGCUUUAGCAUUUGAGUAGUAUGGGCCAGUGUGCAGCUUAUGGGACAUAUUCAGUAAUAGGGUAUGCAGUAAUAGGGUAAUAAACCUGUUUCAAGCCUUUAUUUCACCCGAAGACCCAAUAUCAUAUUUGUAAAGGUACUGAACUGAGAAUGAUAGACCUAUGAUAUGAGGAGAAUGAGAGACAUAUGAUAUGAGUUAAUAACAGAACCAGACUCCUGACUGCUGACUCUAUCCUGUCAUAUGAGAUUGAUAUGCCUGUCAUAUGAGAUUGAUAUGCGGACCGGACCUCUCUAUUACUAUUAUAUUCCUUGCUUGAGUGAUGGUAGUCAGAGACUCGCUAGUAAUACCUUUCAUCUUUAUAGAUUGAUAGCAUUCUAUCUAUAGACAUAUAAGAUUCUUCGAAGCAUGAACUAUCAGCAAGAGAGGCUAGCGAAUAAGUAAGUAGGAAAAGAUCUUCUUAGCGCUAAGAUCUGUUGUUCCUGGUAGACUCUGCGCAAGUGAAAUAACGAGUUUGACAAGGCGCCAACACAACAAGACUAAAUGGCGUUAGGAAGGGGCUCCUCAAUUCGAACAUUAUAUACAAAAGAUAGGGCCGCUAGUGUUCGCUGAAUGAAACGCCUUACCUUAACCUUAAUGCUUGGACCACUACAUUAAGGGGCAAUAACUAUACUUUAUGAACAGACCUCGAACAGGAAAGCAACUAAGACUAUGUAUUCAAUUCCAGUCUGGUCUGCUUGGCGGGAUGAAACUAUCACUUUUUGAGUAGUAACUUGGCCGUCUUACUUAGUAGCUUGGCCUGGUGUUGUCGUCUUGUCUACUUUCCAGCUUGUCUCUUCAAGAUGUGAGUAAGCAGUUCGCCCAGUUCCACUUGGUGGGAUCCUAUUAAGAAUAAGAGAUAUCUUUAAGCCGAAGAAGCCAUAAAGAAGGGAGUUUAGUAAAGAAAUGAUAGGUAAUCAGAAUAACUUAGAUGCAAUGUGCACUAGAUGCAGAAUCUUAAGGAAUUGUGGGGUUACUUUUUGACUUGAAAUAGAAAGAUACAGAUAGAGCAGCAGGAUUAGGUGAGGAAUCAGGAGCAAGAUCUGGCUGGAUAAAAAUACUUAUAUGAAGCAACUGUUCUUGUUUCAUCCACAAACUAGCAACUACGAUAGGCCAAAAGGAAUGUUUUGAACUAGUAUAUGUUUCAUUAUUGACUAUCCAAGAAAGGUUCUCUAUCUCCCGAAACAGGACAAGUAGCGGCAUACGACCAAGCUGCUUGUAUAUAAGGGAAAGUCACUACGGCAGCAAGGCAAGCUUAGGGAUGAGCCCGGGCGGAAACUAGUGCUUCUAAUACGAUAACUAGGGACUUGGGAGCCAACUACUACUUAUAAAUAUUCAUAUGAUAACUCCGCUAUACCCUUCUUUAAUACUAUUGAUCCUAGCACUGGCUUUCACACUUUUGGUAUCAUUUCCUUCCUUCCUAUUCUGUCUUAAGUAUAUAGUAACAGUCUACAGCAAGUCAAGUUUUCGGGACAAUGAGUUUUCAUCCUAUUUCUCAACUGCUGAGGUGAAGUAUAAAGUCACAGGGGUGUGGUAGGGCAUACGCAGAGGAGAGAAACUAGUAUACGCUUGGCCCGGGAUUCCAAAAGAAAGAGAGGGCACAAUCCGAGCAUGCAACAUAAGAUAGGUAGGCCCCCAUUCAUAUUAUUUAGGAAAAAGUGUUUCCGGUGGUACCACGUAUUUGACUUUAUGGGAAGGCUUAAUGGCUUGCUGAAAUGAAGCAAUUACACUGUAGCUGCCAAAGGAGACAGCAGCCCGUGCCGGAAGUUCCCUCGUGAGGAAAAGGAGGAGCGUGGGGAUUCUAGUUUCCCCUCAUCCCAUGACGAAGUGCGGAGAUCUUUUCUUUGUAAGGAAAGUGUUUUACUUAUACUGGAAGUCAGGACGUUCACUGCGCUUUAUUUAAAGCAGUGUGCUGCCUGUCUACAACAAAACGGUGAUGUUGUAGAUAGUACCCAGAUGUCUCCUUAUGUGUCGCUCACCCGGUCAAGGGCUUCCUCGGAUUAUUCCAUCUUUCCAUAGAAGGUUGAUAAAGGAUGGAGUAAGACCCAGGCCAAGCUACAACUAUAGUUUCUGUAAGCAGUUAACUACUAUAGUUUCAGUAAGCAGUUAUAUUAGCAGCGGAGUUUCAUUCUUACUUUACUACUUGAGAGAAAGAACUGAGUACUAGGCGAAGUGUUACCGAGAAGUUGGGACAGAAAGUCAGAAAUGAGAAGCAAAGCAGUAAGUAAGUAAGGAAAGAGUCAGGAGUGAACAAGCAAUGCUCUGUUUUUAGUAACAAUUAUAUAUGAGGAACCCGCUACGUGCAACUCAAAAGUCACUCCACAGCUCUUACUAUAAUUAGAAUAUGUGUUUGUUUGGCAAUGAGAAUAUGAGUUUGGCCGGGAAAAGCGUAACCUCCGCGUACGAACGGUAGCUAUUUCUAUAAGAACAAAGGGAGUAAGUAAUAGAGUUUGGGAGCUCGCUACUGCGAGUUAUUAGCGCUGUAGUGACUUCUUUGCCUUAUUGCCCGGCGCCAAAGGAUAAGUAAGCUUAGGGCACCUGCUCCAUGCCAGUAACCACACCUUUAAUGGAAUUGAAUGCACCACACAUCACUUAUAGAGGAGAGUCACUUCAUAACUAAACACCGAAACGUUAGCACCCUUUAGGUGAAUUUAUGCAGAACUAUAAAGGGCCCCUCCCCUAUACUAAGCAUUAAAGAACUUAGUUUAAAUGAGAUGAGAGUAAUAAGCAAGUGAGUUUGAAAGGCGAGUUUCUAUUCCGCCGUGGACAUAGUGGAAAAGGACAGUUUGUUUCCGAGGAUAUGAGUGAGUUUUCAAAGACUGUUGGAGAGUUUCAAUGAUAGAUGUUACAUUAGCUAUGUAUAGGUGUUACUUAGAGAACUAUUAAGUGAAAGCCUGAACCGGUACGAGUUGUUGACAGUUCAAUUGAGCUAGCGAAGGACGAAAACUGGAAUAGCUUCAUUAAGACCUCUCUUGCUUCAUUAAGACCUCUGGCUCCGCCAAGCAACUAAAGCCCUUAACCAUUAAUAAGUCUGGGCCAGUAGGAAAGUCCAAAGUCAUAAUGCUCUUGCAACUCUCUACCUAUAUCCUUUACUUGGUUACCAGAAGAAUCCAUCAUACCUAUAGCGGGGAACUUUCAUGAUUCUGUUUCUUCUACAGCUUCUACUACUUCAACAGCCAUAAAUACUCGCCUUAGACACAAGCAAACUUUCACCUUCACCUCUAUUGGAAACAGGAAUAUAUCUUUGCGCCGAAGCAGCAUCGUAUCGGGAGUGGGAUAUCUUCAGUAGGUCAAGAAUUGGGAGUUGGAGCAGUAAGUAGGAAAAAGCGGAAUAAUAGUAUACAAGCGCAAGGCAAGAGAUGAGAUCAAAGAAAAAGAAUACUUUCCAAAGUCUAGUAUAGAUAAGGAAGGGGUUAUCUUAACUGAUUCUAUAACAUGUGCUCAAUAAGAAAUGAAAGUAUAAGUCGAGGUCGGUUCUAGUUUCAUCGUUCGGUUAAGAAAGAAAGGAACCAUUCACUAUAGAACUCAACCAGCACUAACAGGAAUGGGACCAGAGAAUGCAAGAAUAACCCUAGUGCUUAUAAGCCUUCUACUCCACCCAGAUUCCGUCCUUUGUUUGUGUUGUGCGGCAGGAGCCCCUGGUCAUUCAAGUAAUGUCAACAAGUGCUUCUACUAGUUUUGGAACUGGGCAUUGAAGAAAGUCUUCUGAUAAUGUAGCUACUACCGCUAAGGCAGCACCUAGGAACUACGAAACAAGCACCCCUACUAGUUUCAUUGAACCAAUACCUAUGUAACUUGGCGAGCUCUCAACAGUGCAAUAAGAUACUUUAUCUUGAAACAAAGAAUCAGAACCCCGAUAGAGUUGAACUGAACCAUUACUAGCAUCGGCUGCAGCCCUAUCAGUAGUGGACGUCAACACCUGCUCUAUUCUUUAAAGCAGUAGUACUAGCUUUCAAACAAAUAGAGUCAGAAUGCUAGCAGGGCAGGGCAAGCUCAUAAGCCAGAAAGAGUUUAAGGGAUGUUAGUUUUAGAGCAAGGAGACCCGGAUCAUUGUUUUAAAGAAUAGAAGUAGGCCUCCCCCCAAGCCAAGCUAAUGGUGCAACUAACAAGAAAGGAGCUACUGCUAGCAAUACUGAAACUCGGAACCAUGGAUUCAACUAAAUACUAUGAGCCUUACACUACAGCAUUUCCAUUCCAUUCUUUAGCUCAGCUCUAGGCCCUGUACUUACUCGGUUCAGGCUUAUACUUGCGCCUUUCAGCCUGCUACACACCCAACGAAAGAAGGAAAAUACGGCCUCCUUUGCCGGUUUUGAAUUCUUGAACUAAUGAUUUAGAUCUUUACUUCCACAGAUCAGUAUACCGAUCCUUCCUUUCCAACUGAACUGACCUUCUUAUACUUCUGACUUGAGUUCUGAAAUAGCUUAUUCCGUCUUUUGGACAGAGAGCUCUAAGACUAAUAGAUACGGGUAUGGUGCUAACAGUAAUAUCCGUGGAAGGUGCCUACUACUAGUACAGAACCAGAGGAACCGAAACGGAGAAUAACGACUAGAAGACGGAAGUUCGAAAGUCAUAAUAAAAGAAAGGAAUGGAGGAAUGGGUUCUUCAGCAAACAAACCUAGUAGUGGUUCCCCAACUCGAAAGUCAAGAUGUUCUAUAAUAUACUAAUCCGAAUUGAACGACGACUAUACUACAAAAGGAAUCCAACAUCGACAUAACGAAUCGAACUGCAGCUAACGAGAAUGGAAUUAACAGCUGGGCAUUCAACCAUCGCUAACAGGGAAUUGAGCACUGCUAGCAGGAAUCCGACUACUGCUUCUAGGACUCUCGCUCAAAAGAGAUAGUUGCACCCCGGUAAUUAAGCCUACCGAGCUUAAACCCAAGUCUGUCUUUCCUCUCCUUUUGCCGAAAAAUCCAAUAAGUUAGAAUUGACUCACACCUGCAGAGAAAUCAAUCAUAAUAUAAGGUAUUAUCACGCGCAUAAGGUAGUAAUGGUAUACACAGAAUAGAAAGUAAUCAUAGUCUUAAUAGAAUCAUAAGACAUCAUUAGUAUUAAUAGAAUCCUAAGAAUAGGAGGUAAGGUAUUCAAAACUCAGAAUUGGAAGAAGAAGGGAAAGUCUCCAGUAGAAACAGAAGCAACAGAACAAUUAGAGUUCCCCGCUCGAAGUAAUAGAUAUGAUAUAUUGGUCACCAACUCCAUGGGCUCUUUCUCUCAACGCUUUCUCUCGCUGACGAAGAAAGGACUCGGUAAGGGCACCGAACUAUAAAACAUGAGUCGUUGCUUGUCCCAUUAACAGGCGCUAAAUUCCUUAGGUAAGAACGUGCCAUCCGAAAGAAAGUCUGACUUAGGAUGAAGUUCGCCUUGGGCAAGAAGAAUUCAAUGCUAUAGAUCGGGCCAUAAAGAUGAAAGCGCUAUAGUAUCAAUAGAAGGGCAUGGGGGGAAAGUCAGCAAAUAAUCCCCUGUUAGCUACAGUAGGUACCAACUCCUGUAUACCAAUAGGCUGCAGGCCCAGAAGGAACUGACAUAAAUAGCGUUCCUAUAGUAAGUAGUAAGGUGAGGUAGAUUUGCACUUCUUUAAGGUAGAUUUCCACUUCGAAAAAAGAGUCAUCCAAAAGUCAUAUAUAUCUGUCAGUGAACACAAACUAAGGAGUCAUAAAUAAGUCAUAUAUAUCUGUCAGUGAACACAAACUAAGGAGUUCACUCGCUCUACACCUUUGACACAAUUCCACCUUUGUAGUAUAAGCUAUUAUUCCCACCCCAAACUACUAAUUCAAUUACAUAUUGUUUGGCGUUAAAUGACGAAAUAGCUGAUUGACGGGCAUUUCCAUGGAGACCAGUCUGUCUUUUGGUGGAAAGCUAAAGCGGAACACUUACCAAACCUGUGAAAAGCCUUUACAUUUCCCGGUCAAAAUGGGCAUACUAUACCAGAAACCAUAUAACCCCACUUAGAAUCUAAUAGAAAGUAGAAAGAAAGGGAACCCCUAUAACCAAGGUUGACGUUAUCAGCGAAACCCCUCUCCACGGACCUCCUGUACAGGCUUGCCUGGCCUACUCUUGCACACAUAAGGGUUAAAGCCGUUUUCUCCACUCUGGACUCUCUGCGACGCUAACUCUUUCAGUUAACCGAUUGCCGAAUCGGAAAAAGGUUCAAGGACAAAUCCAAUACUUAUUGAGUUACCGCACUGCGUAAUAUAUUGAACGAAUUGAUUCUCUAACUACAGGAAACUACAAAAUCCAAGUAGCAAUAUACAAGCCUUUAUAGCUUACUAUCCAGAUUAUGUUAAAGUAACUGUACUUUUUGCGAUGAAAGGUAUGGGAUCUCAAGCAUAUAGCAGUGACAGCACCUGUAGACUGGAAUGGAACCACAUCGGCUACAGUAGCAACAAGCUAGGAGUAAUCUGGGACUCCUUUUGAGUAGUUAUCCGUUCUCGAUUCACAGCAGGAUUUAGGCUCUAUUUUCAUUCGUUCUGUUUUCUGAGAUUAACAUAGGAGUCAGUGCAGUAUACUUAGCGAGUCUAACUUCCGCUUGUAAACAUUCGAAUAGUCUAAUCUCUCUUUGUUGGUGAUACUUUCUGGAGCAGUUGGCUUAUUUCACGCUCUUAUAGCUAGCUUAGAGGCCUUUUACUUACAUGAUCGGCGUAGUCCCAUUGAAGGGAAGCGCCAUACCUUAGUUGCUCGUCAUUGUCGAAAUCUCUUUCAUUUGACAGAGAGAAGGCCGAACCCGGCUUAUACAUGAAAUCAAAGCUACGCCUGGUGUUCUAACAUCAUAAUCCGUUCUUCGAUAACAAGCGGAUACUUCAUUAGAUCUAAUCCUCUCCUACUCUUUCUUAGAGUAACACACCGGUGAAUGGCUAGCUCUGACAAACAAAUAUUCGAUGGCUUGGCGAAGACCACUUCUAAGUUCUAAUUGCGUUAGGAGACUACCAAGGUGAUGAAGUUACAAACCAACCAAUAAACAUCUUUCCUUCUUCGUUUUCCAACUAAAGUCACUCUGCGAUUGCUCUCAGUGGGUCUGUAUCUCGUCCUUGGAUCAUUGAUUCUGGAGCCUCUGAUCAUAUGACUGGGUCUUCCAAAUAUAACUCAUCUGACUUUCCUGCUUCAGGCAAGGGAAUAGCUGAUGGUUCCUUAUGCUCUGUAGCAUGGAAGGAAAGGGUCUGUUCCUUUUCCCCACUUCUAUCUUCUACUUUUCAUCUGUAUUCCAUGUUGCUAAUUUCCCUCUCAAUCUUCUGUCCAUUAGUUCCAUUAAUCCAAAUUGGAAUUGAAAAGCCCAACGAAUUCUUUCUUUCAGUAACUCUGAGGACGGGAAGAUGAUUGGCAAUGGUAGGGUAAAAGAGUGCAACUAUAUGCUCGAGGCAAACCUAAGUAAGUUAACUGAGUGAAGUAGUCAAAAAGAGCAUUGGAACUUAUUUAGUCAGAGGGGGUUCAAUGAUAUUAUUCAUAGAAAAGAAAGAAGGAAAGCACCCGGGCCGGGGUUCCUCUUAUCUUUGGAAGUCAAAACGGUUCCCAAGCCCAGAAAAGUCAAUUGACGAAACAAGGUGAGCAACUCUAGCCAUUGAUCCAGUUGGAGUGGUAAGACUCAUAAGGUCAAGCCCCCAAGUGGUAGUGCUUAAGGUCAAGCCCCUAAGUGGUAGUGCUUCGUUCCCCAAGCAAGUAAAGACAUAGUGAAAUGCACGAGUCAGUCUUCGUUUGUGAAGUGAGUCCUCUAAGUUGUCGCCGAAUUCUCUUUUCGCGGAGUUGAGUUGAGGUAUCAGACCCCAUCCAUGUAUGUCCUUGUUUCAUUUCCUCCAGUAGUGGUUACAUUCUUUCCAGCAGUUCUCCAGCCUUGUCAGCAGAUAAAUAAGAAUAAUGGAUAUAGUUCUGGAAUCAAAGGUGAUUUUAUAGGUAUAGUGGCCCGUUUGUAGGUAUAGUUCGGCAAGGUCAAAGGUCAGUUUAGAGGUAUAGUUCGGAAAUGACAAAUCAAAGAAUAGAAGUAGGGGUAGUAAGCCCAACAGUAAGUAACGCCAGGAGCAAGUCUAAGAACGAGGAGAGUGAAAGUGGGUCUUUGGCCCUGGAGGAUACAAUAAGGCUUUGCUACUGUCAGUUCAUUCCGCUUAGUAUUGGUUCAAGUCUCUUACUUUUCAGUUGGAUUCCCUCUAUCAGUGGAUGCGCUACUGGAUCGUAACCUAAUUCUCCAAAUACGGAGGUUGGUUCUAAUACCCUAUGAGUAAAGUAAAGGAAUGAAAAGCACCUAGGCGCGUAGAAUUAGUUCCCGGCUUAAUGCUUAGAAGCAAAGCUGUAGUUCGAUUAUAUUCCCGGCGCUGCUGCUAAAAGAGUUCAACUUACAAGUACAAUACAAAUGCAAGGGUAUAUUAAGUACAGAACUAGGGCUUACACCCGGGACUAGGCAUUGAAGAAAGGAGUGCGAGAACAAAACUUAGAAGUCAUAAUAAGGAUUCCGGGUUACAAGAGUCAAAGGGGAACUACAGAAUUGAACUAGUGCUUACAGAGCUUUAAGUCUAUACGGAAUUUUCGAAUUUCACUCACAAACUAGGAAUUCUACUCUCAAGUAGGCGAACGAGCAAGUAAGAAUUGACUUCAUCACAUCAGUAUGGGACUCGAAGUGGUUAAGGAAACUUUGACUUAUAAGAGAAUUCAACCAUCGAGUCAGGAUACCCAGUGUGAACUCCCCUACCGCCAUAAAUACAUGAAAUGCUACCCCUGCCCUAAAGCCUUGUAAUACUCCUUUUGAUUACUUACUUGUUUCAUUGCUUAUUCCAAGGUUUAGUAGUCUGACAUUCCUGUCUGUUAGUCCGCCUAUCCGUACCCUAAUUCUACUAUACUGGGGUUGGUUCUCGUACGACUAAAUCUUCUUCUUUGAUCUACUAACCUCUACUGCUUCCUCGCUUCUUAUUCUAGUAGAGCAAUAAUAACUCGCUUCUUAUUCUAUGAUUACUUCCCCCUAUACAAUACUUGAGCUCGCAGCUGAUUUCCCUUCUACAGUUUCUUCAGUUGGGCCUAGACCUAGACUAGACACCUAGACCUGGACCUUGGAGAACCACUAACUCGAGACUUAACCGCUCCCGGCUUAGAGUAAAGAACGGAUCUUAUCUUAGCACCAACCUCUUCUACGACAAAGAGCGUAAGCAUAAAAACGAAAACCUCUUUCGUCGCCAACUGCCAUAAAAAGUCACGUAUAGCCGCCAAGGGCCAAGCGCCAAGACACGUAUAAUUAUUAGCCUACCUCUCCCUUCUAUUACUCUUGCUUUACUGUUUCUUAGCCUAUGUUUCCUUGUUCUAAGUCUCCUGAUCCCUUAGCUAGGCCUGCUCUUCCUUACUACUAUAGCAGACUUGACUUUCACUGCCAACUAUCCGACUGUAACUACGAUAGGCCUGCCUUCCUUUCUUGACUCUAAAACGGAUACUGCUUAAUCCAAUUCUGACUAUGAUGGCUUCUAAUUCUGACUAUCAUGGCUACUAUUGGUCUGCCCUUCCUCACCUCUGCAAACUGAUACUAAUGUCUUACUACUUGUCUUACUACUAUUAGGAUUGGGCUAGCGCUAACAAGACGGAUGUUACACCUAAAAGAAUAACCCCAAGAAGGAGGAAUUUGGCUGAUAGGAGCAAAGAUCAAACUGUGCCCUAACCCACUGGAACUAGUUUGACUGCCGCUACACUCUUUUUCCCUGACUUUUGACUAUAUCGUAGGCUACUAUUAGACUAAGUACAAUACUUCAGAAGUUAACUAGUAAUGAUAGGACUUGAAAUACCAAAUAGCAUAAUGAAACUAAGAAGUACAAGAACCAAUAAGCCCACAAUAGAAAGAAUGGAACUGUGGACAACCCUGCUAGAACUGCUGCUACUGCUCCCCAAACCCUAUGUGCGAUUGUGAGUCUGCCCCUACGGCUUUCAAUGUACUACCGACUUGAGCUUACUGCUAUAAGAAUUGAUCCACUGCUUCUGAGAGCAUAGCUACUGGAAAACAGACCCAGAACUAGUUACUAUUAGCCUGGCACUACGGACUUCCAAUAACUUUACCUAGAAUACGGGAACCCAACCUAUACUGAUGAGAGUCAAGUGAACAACUAGUAAUUCCAUCACUGAAAGCCAGGCUCGAGCUACUGGUUAACAGCCUUAUUACGCCUUCCUUUAUUCUGAGUUCUGAGUUAGAGUAUUAUAGGUAGAGUAGCCCCAUACUAGUGAUUCUAUCAAUCAUGUAUUGCUAGCGGAUUCUAUCAAUCAUGUAUUGUAUGUUGCCGGGGCCCUAUAUUCUUAUUGGCGUAUCAUAGAAAAAGAACUUAGCUCACAACUAAGACUGUUGUUACUGGACUCAAAGCCGCCAUUCAUGGAUCUCAUAUCCAUAUUUGUAUCUAGCACUGCUGGCACUGACCUCAAUGCUUGACUCUUAUCGGCCCCGCCGGUCUCUAAGCCUCAACUACGGACUUUCAUUCUCCAAUUCCAGAUCUAGCAUCUUGCUUUAGUGUAGAGUUUUGGGUUCCCGCUCCCGCUUCUCAGCCUUACUAUCCUUCCUUUCACUCUUUAACCACUGCGUCGGAUCCUCCAGCUGCGGAUCUCAUAUCUGUAUCCCUAAAUAAGGGCUUAGGUCUACUGCUUAUUUAUUAAUAGUAAGCUUGGUUCUACCUUAGCUAUAUGUUAUAUGAGUUGUUCUCUUAUUGUUAUUACUAGAUGCACACUCGUACGGACUCCUUAUUCCAGUAGAUACAAAACUUUGACAGUUGGAUUGAUUUCUUGUAUUUGUUAUUUAUAUCUUAUAAUAGUGGUUGUACUUAUCUAUUCUCUUUUACUAUAAUAUGAUUUGCUUAUCUAUUUACUUAAUAUUAGAAACUGCUCACUGAGUGCUUUAACUACUUAUUCACAGAACAGAGGGGAUAAAGAGAAAAGCGGAACAAAGAGUUUGAGCCCGCGCCUGUAAUCACGUCAAAGGAGAGAGCGAUUGAGAGACUUGAUUACGACCGUUAUAUAUUAGCCUUUUCACAUUGAUACCGAUACAAAGAGCAGAUAUGUGAGAUUAUGGAAUAUAGUAAGCAAGACGGAUUCCACUUUAGACUAGCUUUACCAUUACGAAAUACCACUCGGGGAGUUCGAGGGAAGAACCAGGAACCGGAUCCACAGCCGAAUAGCAACUCUAAGUAAGUAUACACGAGCAGAACUCAAAGCGAUCAUAGCGCCCCUUACCCACAUAGCCAUUCUUGCGGAUCAGCCGGGCGUUGCGUGCUUGUUUUGCAAGAUUUCGCUUUCUUCCUUCGUUGUAUCGAUAAGUGAGUGGAUCAAACAUGUGUUCACUUUCCAUUUUCGAAAAAGAGGGUGCUUCGUCAUCUUAAUGAUUUGAAAGUGGAUUCCGCCUACACAAACUACUACAUUGUUGCUUGGUGAGUCCCUGCGUUUGCUUCUUCGGUUUUCUAGUAGCAAGAUCUGGCUUUUGGUUGGAAGAUUGAAUCAGGGGUCUGAACGACGGCAUUCCAAGAAGCUACUUCCUAUGGUAUGGGAUGGUACCCUAUUGAUGAAUCUUUUCAGUCGAAAGAAAGUCAUUUCCCUUUUGUUACCUUCUUUCUUGAUAUUUCUCAAAGAGGCAAAUCCAUAUUUAUAUAAAGAAGGGCGGUGGGGAUGGUUAAGGCAGAAUGGAAAGAAAAGACUACUAAAUGUGCUAGCGAAGAAUUAUGGCCAACGAAAGAAAUUAGUAACUGACCACACUCUUUGCCAUUCGCCCGAAAGCAAGGGAAAUACCAGGAGGCAAGUCGAAGUUAAGUUCCUAUUGAGUUGAGGAAGAUGUUCGAUUCGGGUUCAAAUGAAUCUAAGAUCUCUAUUAGAGAAAGAAAGAGAAUUGUGUGAGUUAGAUUCGUGUGCAGCUGAUGAAAUAGCUAGGGUUGAUGAUAUAACUAGAACUACGGGUGUAUUGCUAAGACUUGUUUCUCUAUUCCGCAUUAAGUAUCAGGGGAAUUUGCCCUGCUAAGGAAAACACCUGCUUGCUGUUAUCAAAUUGAAGGUUUUACAUUAGUUCACAUUCAAAGGGCUUACGACUCAUAGGUUCUGCCCGUGAAUAAGAUCUGGGAUGUUUGGGAGAGUUGUUCCAGAGGUAGUUCAACUAGUCUAAAGUGGAAGCGUUUGGCAAGGAGUUAUUUCCCCAAUGAGCAUUUAGCGAUUCUCCAAUCUAUGUUCUAUUAAACGAUUCACCGACAAUUAGCCUAGCCUCCGAAGACAUGAUUCUAUAGUAAAGAAGUAUACAUGGUACGAAUGGGAUUGAGAAGGAGCUCUUCCCUUUGUCAGGUGCAUGGCCAUGUUGGCUCUUUCCUUAAAGCUGGGGAAGGAAAGCAAGGAACUGAUACGAAAAACUCGCAAAGCACAACUAGAAUAUAGCCUUAGACCUCAUCAAUCGAGGAAUCAAAGAACCAAUCGUUGAAAAAGCCUGAUUGCUAUUAUAGGGCUUUCUUAGGCCUUUGGGAGAUUUUAUUGAAUCAGAGAAAAGGUGAAGACAGUGCCCGGAAUUGGACAAAUAGCUUGUGCACACGAACAGAAGGGAGUGAAUCGUAGAACAGAGAGAGGGAGGUUUGGAUCUGAAGUUGGUAACGCCUAAAACGAUUUCUCGAAUCAACCGUGGAGCUAGGAUUGUCAAGAAGGAGGGGGAAUUAGGCUUCCGGUAGGUGGUAGGACAAAUAGCUCUUUUGAAGGUUCGAAACCCUGCUUGUCUCUAAUUGCUUUAUAUUGAUGGCAUUUAUAGUUCCAUCAGCUCUCCAGUGAAAUGUAAAGAGAAAGGGGAAAAAGAAAAGAAAGCGGCCCUGGGCCGAGUAGGAAAGGGACUCGUUUAUGGCCGCCGUCGGUUUAGACCACACUCCAAUUGUGCAAUGUCAGCACAGCGAAUUGGAUAUGCCUUUCACUAGCUCAACACAAAUGGAAAACACUUGUGAGCGCUUGUCAAUUGAAAGCACGGAGCCCUUCUCUGGAAAAACGAAAAGGGAAGGAAAAUCGAUUGGAGAGAAGAAUUAGCUCAAACUCUGUAAACCUCCUGAAGAGCCUAGGAUUUGUUAGAGAAAAUGGCACCUUGUUUAGCAAAGACCCCGGAAAUCCACCCGGGUAAAGAGAGCCCAAACUAUUAGAAACUAAAGAAGGUAAGUGCACACAUCUUGAAUCAAAAAAGAGCGGGCCCCCACGAGAAAUGAGAAUGGUACUGAAAGAAUGGGUCAACGCCAAUUGUCCGAAGAGUACGACUCUGGGCUAUAUCUUAUUAUCUAUCUGUCUAUCUAUUUAUUAUCCAUCUGUCUAUCUAUCUUGGAUGUCGUCCCUUGCCUUUCACUUUAGCUAGGUCGUGGGCGUAUCCUGUUGCUGCUAAAAAUGAUCUAUCGCUUCCUGCGCCUAGCCAAAAACGAAAAAACCUUCGGGGCAUCCUUUGAUGAAAGGACUUGGUUUCACAACGGCUUAUCUUGCUUUUGAUAUAAGCUCCAAACUUGACAUGUAAUGGCUGCCACAGGAUCAGACCCAGACAAACUAAUAGUGGAUCCCAUUGGAGUUUGAUGCUUGGGGGACCUUUCCGAUUGAAAAAGGGAGACGCCUAAUUGAUCAAUAAUUCCAUAAUAGAAUGAGUUCGUGGCUUGCUGAUCAUAGAUAGGGUUAAGGCUAACACAAAAUCAAUUGAAACCCGGAGUUCCACUUUCCAAUCAAGGAGUAUGGACGAAAUGGAAAAUCUCCCUAUGGACAUUUUGUGAAUCGAAAAUGUUGGGUUUAGUCGACUCGUAAAUCCAGAAUAAUGGAUUGACUACUAUGGAUAUCCCAGGCGGCCUCCCUAUACUCUGCCCACUCGCCCCUUGUUCUUUUGGGUCAACAGCAUUUGGUUCGGGUGAGGCUUCUUCGUUCCACUCAUUUGUUUAGUAAGUGUCUUGUCCGGCCUUAACCAUAGCAGACGAAAACGAUCCAUGCACACACAUAAUAAUGUUGCACAUAUGAAUAGAUAGAGACGCUGUUGUCUAACCCUGAUUGAUGAAACGUAGUCACUUUAAGAUGUCAUCUACAGAACAGGCGCUUGAACCUCUUUCUUCUCCCUAGGUCGAGCCCAACUUCCAUUUAUCGCAUCCAGACAUGAGAAUUGAGAACAUUAUACAGGUUCCACCUAUCUUCUAUUGGUCCUAGAGGAGAUCAAGACUGGUCUUAGUUCCUUUCCCGAGGCGAGGAAGUGAAGAUAAUUACAUUGAGAAAAGAACGAACCUAUUCUUAAAGAAAGAACGGACAACGAGAAGAAUGCACCAAAGAAUGUGUAAGCCCAAAGAAAGUGUAAGCAAGGAAGUGGAAUUGGGAAUGCACCAAAGAAAGUGUAAGCAAAGGAAGUGGAAUUGGGUUGAUUUAUGUAAGAGAAAGGCUUCCCUUACAAUUCAUAGGGUGUAAGCUGUAGUUGAAUACGGUGUUAUGUUUUUCAAGUGAAUAAGAGCCAAGCAACUAAAGAGACCGUUAUAGUAUCUUGACUGUUUCUUUCACGUACUUGGUUUCACUCGUCAAGCGAACAGCCCUUUUAGCAUUUGGAAAUGGCAUACAUAUAUAAUAUAGAGUUCUUCUUGGUAUUGGAUCCGCCCGUAAUCGUUGCCCGACCAACUCUUCCUUCUGUCUUUCCCUACUUUACGCCGUACAUUGAAGCAAGCCUUUACUUGGUUUUUCUCAACUAACCGGCUGACCAACUUGUCUUUCCUCCCGCCUGGAAAAACAUUACAAUCGAAUCGAGUCCUUGUGAAUGGGCAAAGCCAGGUGCUCUUAACGAAAAGAAAAGGUGCUGAAAGCCUUCCACUUCUAUUACUGACAAGGAAUGAAAAACCACCGUUGUCUCUUCGUCUCUCUACUCUUUUGCUCCUCUUUUUGGAGAAGGUAAUAGAGCUUCAAAGUGAACAACCUUUUGAGUUUUGUAGAAGCUAACUAUCCGCUUUCGCACAUGGGAAGUUGAUUCUAUCGCAUAUCCGCUUACUGCUGUAGCAUAUCUGCUGUUCACUACUUCUGGCUUGCCUUGUUGUUUACCAUAUAAAUGAUUAUAUACGAAAGAAAAGAAAACUAUCACUCGAACCAUCGUAGUAAGUCGGCUAGUCUUUUAGAGCAGGUGGCAUGAGAGCUAGAGCGGUCCUCUAAGCAUGUCGAUUCCUAUUUCACAGUGAUCGACCAAUCCUUACCUUUACACGACAGCAUCGAGAAUCUCGUUGAUACUUAAGAAAACGAAUCUCAUCCAAGUAGAAAAGCGAAAAGCCAUAUCGUACGAGUAAAGCUCGUGAAAGGAAAGAUAGAAUUAGGGUAGGGGCAAAUGUGUCCACCAAAAAUGUCCAUAGGGGGAUUUUCUCCAUUAUGGGAUCCAGGUCAAAACACCAUCAAAUAAUUCAUGCUUUUCUUUAUGAUUGGCCUUACACAUAAGCAGCCACCUAGAGCACAUGUAACAACGGCGGAACAAAAGAACAGGAAUUCCAGAACCGAACAGCUUACUUAUCGUCUAUCUAAAGAAAGAAGAGACUUCCUUCAUCUAUUAGGCCCAUGCUCCCAAUAAAGUGCUUACAAAAUCUUCUGAGAACCGAAAUCCCACGAAAGUAAGUAAACACAUACCCACUAGUUUUCCAAUCGAGAAAUUGAAGCUAGGCGAACAUAUCCAAUGAUAGAAAUGAGAUGAAGUAAAAGAUAGAACGGAGUUGGAGAACUAAAGAUCCGUGGUUGCUGAAGACCCUUCUCCUUUUCGGGGAUCCCUACUAGAAAGGAGUAUACAGCUCCACUUAACAUGGAUGUAUACUAACCUUGAUCUUUACACCAAGAAUGGAAUCCAUCCGGAAACUAAAGACUAGCACACCAUCCAAUCAGAUAAUCCUUCCUUAUACAUUAGCGCUGGAAAGAAAGAUAGCACAAAAGAACAAUAACGGAAUCUUAUCUAUACGAAUUCAUUUAGCCGCGAGCAAUCCAUGUUUUUCUCUAAAGAGAUCAUCCUUUCCUUCGUUCAAUUACUGUAUAUAUAAGUUCAGAAUCCUGUCCAAAAGGCAUACGUACAAGUUAUUAUGCCUUGACGGUUUAGCCCCUAAUUUCUCUAACUUGGAAUCAACAGAGAGCUUUCUCUCCCAUUUACAUUUCAUAAAGGGUGCGUGCCCUAGUUGCAAUACUUCCCGCAGGCGUAAUACAGCAUUGGAAGCCUAGAAAGAAAAGAAGUAUGGACUGGGGAAGUGCAAUACACUGGGGGACUUCGACUAUCUAUACUAUACUUUCCGGAUUGACCCUUCAAACUCAGAGACUAAUCCUAUUCUGUGACCCCCGGGGACAGGUACUGGCUCGCAGGAACUCGCAAUGGAACGUGAUUCCUCCCUUCCCUCCUAACUGGCAGGGCAACAGCAACAGACAGAGAACCAAGAAAGUACCCCAUGUAACGUAAAUAGAGGGCAUAGCACUAAGCUUUCUUCUACGUGGUUCUAUCAACCACAAACCACGGAUACUCAGGGUUUCUCACAGGAUCAUGGAUUUCCCUUGCCUUCAAGCUUUCCAAAGAAGUAAAGAAACUGGCUUGACUUGCAAGCUUGCACAGCGGAUAUACUUUUGAACUUAGGAUUGCUAUUUUAGGGCUGGGAAUAAUCCAACAAUUCUUCAUCGCUUUUUUCCAUUGCUUUUUAUAGCUUUCCAUUGCUUUCUGCCUAUCCCCCUAGUUUGAUAAGGAAUUCUUCUAAGCUAGAGCUUUCUUACUAUCUUGCUUUUGCGGCUUGCAAAGUGGUUUGCUUGCUCACUGCUUUACGAAAGCGCUUAUCUUAAGACUGCCUUCAAGGCCUUACCACUAAAGGAAGAAGGGAUCCCAUAAGGAAGGAAAGAAUCAAGGGGCCGGUUCAAAGCGUUGUUGGCUGUUAACUACUAUAGUAUCGGGAAACCUCCGGGCAAAGCGAAAUAUCCCCUCCAAUCUGGAACCUCCUUACUGCGGCUAAAUACCGAUAUCAUCUGCUUCAUAGUGGAAAUGGAAAGUCAGCUCCCUCGAAGAAAUGGAAAGUCAGCUCCCUCGAACGGAAAAACAGGCCUGCCAAACGGAAUCGAAAGAAAGGCAAACAGGAAAUUCCACCCUUGGCAUGACAGGAAGAAGGACUCCCACUUGUUUACUGGCAACUGCCACUGGACCGACAUCGGAAGAAAACGGAAAAUCAAAGAAGAGUCCUGGCCUAAUACACUUGAGUUUUUUGAAGAAAGAGAGAGACUCUUCCCAUUUAAAAGAGAAAGAAGAGAAGGAUAAGGUAUUCUGGCAAUAUCCGGCAUACUCCGACUAAUCGAUUCUAAUAUAAGGCAUACGUAGACUAUACUAAUCGAUUUUUUGGCCAUUUGCGAUCGAACAACCUAUGAACUGUUGUAGCCUACAUAACUGACCUACCAGACCAAGGCAAAGGGAAGAAGGUAUCAGAUAACUGUAGUUCUAUACCCCUUUCUUUUGAGAAACCAGUUCCUAUACUUUGAAUGAGAAAAAGCGAGUCAAAUAGUAUGGUCAAAGGGCAAGCCUCACCUCUCCAUUUCCCCCUAUCAUGGAAUUCAACUCCACUACAGUUUACUCACCAUGACAAGGGCCAGCGAUCUCACUACGAUAAGCUCCUUUACUUCAAAAAGAAAAGAAAACCAGAAAAGAGCAAACCCUUAUCCAUGAUAUUUCCAUAAGAUUCUCCUAUUUCUUAUUCCCCCGAAGGAGCUCCUUGGUGAUUGGUAUAGAGCAAAAAGGACACGAAAAGCUAUGUUAAGUAAUAAAAGGCCGAUAAUUGCUACAAAUAACCUAACACAUUUUUGUCAUGAUCAGAAUUCCAGGGGUGUUUCGCUGGCUCUUCUUUUUUCUCCCUGGGGGCUGGUUCGAAUCCAGCUCGUGACUUUUCUUUUCCUCGUUCACCACCCAUUUCACUUUGUAUGGAUACAUCCGGGGGAAGGCUUACAUACGCGUCCAUACUCAAGGCUAGAGUUUAUGACAAAGAAAUCAACUAAUCCUAUUUGUCCCCGGAAACGGAAGUCCAACCUGAAACCUCAUUUAAAAGUACUCAAAAACAAGUAAGUGGGAUCCUCUCCUUCCUAGGCAAUUCCAUAUAUUGACAUGAGGUCUUUUCCCUAAUUCUUUGAUCAAAGUCUUUUCAUUACAUACGUGUUUUGAUUACAUUCUUUACCUUUAGCUUUAGUGAACUGGCAAGUCGUAUUGUAUUGGUUAUUAGGCAAUCCGACCUCUUCCUACAGUAGGGUUUGGGUUCAAUUGGAUCUCUUUCCUUCUUGACUAUUAGAUUCUUAGGCAGAUGAAUUCGCCAAACGCCGACCCGCUCCAUCAGGACAAAAUAAAGGCGUCCGAGCGCAACAAGACCAGACUGCUAACUCAAUGGAAAAUGAAUUAAGAAAAAAGGGGUCGUUUUAUACUUCGAUGAAAGAGAGACUCAAAAAAGCAGAUGUAACACUCCGGAUACUUGGUACCAAAACACCUAUAUUGGUGUGUUGAUAGGAAGAGAAGAAAAAGACCAGAAAGAACCAUUCCUGAAUCGCCGAAAUUGAGAACAUAGAAAUGUGCCUUCACCCAACCCAUGUAGCAUUUUGGGCAGCCAAAAACACAGGGUGGCCAAUAACGGCUGCAGAGACUUUGAUGUUAUUAGCAUUUACUCAAACUCAUUAAUGACAUUUUCAUACCGGAAUUAUGACUGAGAAUGAAACCUUAUUCGCUCUGCUACAACGAACGAACAGACCAUUGAGGGUGAGUGAAACGGCUAUAAGAAAGGUCCUCUUUCCGCAGCAUCAGAUUGUGCAUUUUCACAUGAAAUUAAGGAUAGGGUGCCAAUAUUGAUUGAAAUACUGGGUUUCCGCCUAUUGACCUUCCAUUCGUUUCACGCUUUUCAAACAAUGAAUUCAUCUGGUUUUCCUAGGAUUCGAAAUUGACCUGUUUGCUGUAUCAGCUCGAACGAAGCUUUCAACUCCACUGCAAGCUUUGAAUCAAUAUCACUAUCCUCGGGCAACCUUUGAGUAGACCACAGGCGGGGCGGAAAGAAGCCUGCUAUCAAACCCUCUUUUGGACUUUUGAGAUCUUUCGUUUUUUCAAAGGAUUCCGGCACGACUCCAAUGCCUAACUACGACUUUUCAUUGAGUUACGGAACGACUACUUUCAUUGAUCCUUCUUUCUCCUGCGCUUCCUUCUGUGUCUUUGCCCACUUCUUUCUAUCUACGUUCUUUCUUCUCUGAGAAUGAUUCUAACCUUCGCUGAGCUUUGAACAUAGAUUUGAUCUCUAGUAAAUGACCUAAAACAAGAAACAGUAAUUACAAGAUUCCAUAUAUUGCCUCGCUCACAACUACUAUCAAAUCUCUCUUUGCCUCGCUCACAACUACUAUCAAAUCUCUCUUUGCCUCGCUCACAACUACUAUCAAAUCCCUCUGCCUAUAACACAUUUUUCAAUACCUUUCACCUUUGAGUUAGAUUCUCUGUUUCGGGGCUCGCCCUCCUCUCCUAUAUAUAAAAAGAAGUGACUCCGGAACUCCCUUACCAGCCUUUGCACUUCUCUAUUCGAGAGGAAUGGUUUACGCUUUGAGCUACUCUACUCUACUAUCUUUCUUACUACAGCAUUGAAUGAACCUCUAAGAGACCAUACUUCUCGAGUUCUAAAAUAGUACUAUAUUCUAAGUGAGUUAUGGCGGAAUGCUUCUUUGUCGUUCUAUCGAUAGUCCCAUCAGUCGUGAUAAAAGAAAGUCCGUCCUGCAGACCCUUCGACGGAGCGGAAUCUUUACUUUCGAGGUCGGGAAGGUAAGCUUCCUACUAUAAAGGAAUGAUUCGAGUUCACGUAACACUAAUGGAUUGGUAAUUGAAUAGGAAAUUAGUGGGAAGAAGAAGACAUUGACCGUAGGACAUAGCAGGUGAUUAAAAGGCAUUGAUCUGACUGAUGUAGUGGACUACGAAAGAUUGACUUCCUCUUCCGCUGGAAAGCAGGAAAGAUUGCAUUUACCCCCUAGCUAUCGUGCAACAAUCCGUUUUGUUGCUUACUACUUAUCUCUAUAGAACUAGCUUCAUCGCCUAGGAGCUAAAAGAGGAAGACAACUGCAAAGAGACUGUUAUUCUUACUCGUUCGCCUAUGAUUCCCGACUCCUGGCGGCCCCUUCGAAACCCCUUCACCCGUCCACUAAAAGAUAACCGAGAACCGAGAUGUCUAGCCGGAGUUUUGUAAUGAAUAUAAGGAAUUGGUACUAAAGGCAAUCGCUGUAUGAAUAAGGUGCAAACUCUAUCAUGGCUUCAGGGGCCUUCCAUAAGUUGCCUCUUACCCUGUUGUCGAUCCGACAGCACCAUCAAGCUGAUACCAAGACAUUUGAACCUCCGCUUUCAGCAGUUUUAUACUAGGACUUCCGUAGCCGAUAAGAGGCAAAACUCGUUGACCAUGCAAAAAGAAAUACGGGCGCUUUACCGUGUCACAGAAAUAGAUCACAUUUCGAGGAGACAAGAUCGGGUCAUAUCCCUCAGCCACUUUCAAUAAAGAGUGGAUACAGAUAUGGGGACUCCUACCCGAAUGCAAACUGGAAGAACUCACUUUCCUAUCGUUCAGUAGGCUUUCAAAUGAUUACCUGUUGUUAAUAGAAAUCGUUAUAGAAUUCCUAUGUUGACAAUCUUGCUUGAGAAUCUGCUUGUUACCUUGCCAUUACUGGCUUGAUCACUGGAAUAGAACUCUUGGGCAGAAGCACUUACAUGGACAGAAUUCCGCCUCUUUAAGGUUAAGGGAAUAGAUGUGGACGGGGCCAACUCUCAGAAGAUGCAACUUCAUUAAUUCCCCGUGGAUGUAUGGCAUCAGGAUGGAAAAUGCCUGGAAGUGAACUUACAAUGAAUGAAGCAGAGCUACCAUUAACCUGGAAGUGAACUUACAAUGAAUGAAGCAGAGCUACCAUUAACCUACCUAAAAAAAGAGAACGAUAAAGGGCACCAGAAAAAAGGGUUCUCGUAUCUCACUCACUAAGCUGUCCCCAAAAAGAAGGAAACUACAACUGACUUGACUGGAGAAAUAGAACUUCCAGCUAUUGCCCUGUCCUUUAGGAUUACAGCAUUUCCACUGGAAAAGGAAUGGAAAGAGAAAAACACUUAUACUCGGUAUAGGGAAGUAGAAAGCUCAGCGGAAUCGAAAGAGGCUUACCCUAGAUUGAAAUUCGAUAGACUUCAAAAGGUUAGCAGCAAGAAAGCCAGGAUAGAAGGGCAGAGAAUGAAUCGGAAGAUGGUUCCUCUGCUCUGUACUGGAAUGAGUCUUAUAAAUAAGGUCUUUGCAGCGAAUACGGGUUAAUGGAUAUUCUCUUGCCGGAAUCGAAUUCCACUGGGCUAAUGAGACAGUGCUUUCAAGCCAGAAGCUGUGGGAGAUCCUGUUUCAAUAGUGGCUUCUGUCUUGCCUUCGCUAAACAAGUUUGAGUUGCUUUCCUUUCCGCAGUAUCUUAGGCUCAGAAUAAAGCAAAGUAUAGAGGUUAUUAGGGAAGCUCUUGUCUCGUCUGGACUACACGCAAUCUUUAUCACACCAAGACAGGAGUAGAAGUACCUAUCUUGUGAGAGUCAGAAAGUGCCUUAGUUAAGUAGAUAUGGGAUUUGAGGCUAGUUUUCAGUAUACAUUUGAAGCUCAUAACUUCUUUUUUCUUCCUCUAGGGAAAUUGGAUUAUUGAUUCCCCUGGUGUGUAGGCCCCUAUCGUUGCAUUGAAAGCGGAGUCAAUUCCGGAGUAUUUCCUGCACCACGGAAUUAGGACUAAUCUUCCUCUGCUCUUUAUUAGUUGCCACUAGCUGCAUACCAAACUAAUUACGAAAUGUGGCUUACUGUACUAUUGUGGGUGGGUAAUAUCUAAGUUAAGGCCUUACCCUCAUGCCGUGUAGUAGAUAAAUAUGAAUCGCCACCUUACACCUAGGUCUCUAUAAAGCUUACCUUGAUCCAAUACUUCCUUAUAUACGAAAGUGCCUUCCAAAAUGCCAGGUAUUAUCAUGGAAAGUCUCUCAUUGAGUAGCCUUAAGUAAUAGAAAAAGGGUGUUUAGUAUAGAAAGAAUUGGUAAUCAGAGUAAGUCCUCAACACUUGACAAUAGGGAGUGAUAGAUUGAUGAAAUCCAGCCACCGCCUCCACGUAGCGACUUUGUUACGACUUUAUUAGUGGUCUGAGCUUGGGUUAGUCUAUUUCAGACCGGCACACGGUUACCUCCCUUCGACCGCCUUUUACACGUUGUCUUCUUUGUCGUCCAAGAACUUUCUCACUCCUUUAGACUAAAAGCGAGUAGGCCUUCUUUUCUGCACUUAUGUAAUUUCCCUAUAUAUGUAUUUCUGUCCAUUCUUCGCGAUAGGAGAUGCAAUGCAGCUGGGUGCCGAACUCUGGCCUGUGUAUGAAAGCGUAACUAGUGUUAGCUCUUUUGAAGGGAAUAAGCCACCUAACUCCUUGCUUGCAUCCCGCCCCAACGAUCCGGUGCUAAACGAAAGAAAUCCCGGCUAUGCCUAUUCUUCCUUGGUUGUAGGAUAGCUCUUAGGUAAAUACCUUGAUGUUCCUCCCGUUCGUUAAGCGAGACGGUGAAGCUCUAAGUGGCAAACAUCUCCUUCAGGGACAGCGUUUCUGGUAUGAGUCUUUUCGUAACUACUCUCAUCCCCAGCCCUUGAAGUUAGUUCGGGUUUAGCAAGCUUUUGAAGAACCUAUCGUCACCCAUUCCACAGAUAGGGAACGUCAG